AGGUCCUUGAAUGCAGCGCUGGUUUCCAGGGAGUGGCACCUGCACCUGUCCGACCUGUUUUGGGGACACACGACUCCGGAGGAAUUUCCCCCGCUGCUCCCGUCCAUUGUUCAACGGACUCUUUUUCGUGGGCGACAGAGAGUGAGAGCCUGAGGCGAGGAGGAGAUAGAGAGAAGAGAGAGGGAGAUAGAGAGAAGAGAGAGGGAGAUAGAGAGAUGUCGGAACCAGCUGCAAAUCCCGCCGCCACCUCGUUCCCAGCGCCAACCAUUUCUCUUCCCUUGGGACUGGAAGUAUUGAGAACUUACUCUGGAGCCCUUGUCUGUUUAGAAAUAUUAUUUGGUGGUCUAGUAUGGAUCCUGGUUGCGUCCUCCAAUGUGCCCGUGCCUCUGCUGCAGGGCUGGGUGAUGUUUGUCUCCGUCACCACCUUCUUCCUCUCCUCCGCCUACCUUGCGCUCCUCGUCACCGGCCUGGCUGACCGCAUCAACACUGAUUGGAAUUUCUUGGAUGUGUUUUACCAUUUUUUAGCUUUGCUUUUCUACUUUGCUGCCUUCGUGCUGGAGGCAGCUACUACGGCAGCUAAUGGAGGAGCCUACGUCAAGCAACUGAAUAACACCACUCAAAAUGUCAUGUGUAUAACCUACCCCCGGGGCAACAUAUUCACAGUCCUGAAUGACAACCAAUACAGUAUUAAUGUGGCUGCCACGAUAUUUGCAUUUUUGGUGACGCUAUGCUACGGCUGCAGUAUGGUGAUGGGCUUCAAGAGGUGGAAGAUGUAACCUGGAAAACCAGUGCAAACUAGUUUUAUAACUGCUUCAUAACUUUAGCAUGUAUUAUUAAAACAUCCAUGGAGAGCACUGCUAUUCAGUUCAGUGACAACUUUGUUUUUUUCUGAUUGGGAACUCUGGUCAUUAAAGGAAGAAAUACACAAAUAUACAACAAUUUCUGCCUCAGUG